rnacentral:rRNA from 1 species
AUUGAACGCUGGCGGCAGGCCUAACACAUGCAAGUCGGGCGAGCGGCGGACGGGUGAGUAAUGUAUGGGGAUCUGCCUGAUGGAGGGGGAUAACUACUGGAAACGGUAGCUAAUACCGCGUACCAUAGGAUGAGCCCAAGUGGGAUUAGGUAGUUGGUGGGGUAAAGGCUCACCAAGCCGCCGAUCUCUAGCUGGUCUGAGAGGCUGACCAGCCAAACGGGGACUGAGACACGGCCCAGACUCCUACGGGAGGCAGCAGUGGGGAAUAUUGCGAAAUGGGGGAAACCUGACGCAGCCAUGCCGCGUGAAUGAAGAAGGCCUUCGGGUUGUAAAGUUCUUUCGGUAGCGAGGCGUUAACGACAGAAGAAGCACCGGCUAACUCCGUGCCAGCAGCCGCGGUAAUUC